AUUGAACGCUGGCGGCAGGCCUAACACAUGCAAGUCGCACGAGUGGCGGACGGGUGAGUAAUGUCUGGGAAACUGCCCGCUGGAGGGGGAUAACUACUGGAAACGGUAGCUAAUACCGCAUACCAUCGGAUUUGCCCAGAUGGGAUUAGCUAGUAGGUGGGGUAACGGCUCACCUAGGCGACGAUCCCUAGCUGGUCUGAGAGGAUGACCAGCCACACUGUAACUGAGACACGGUCCAGACGCCUACGGGAGGCAGCAGUGGGGAAUAGUGCACAAUGGGCGCAAGUCGGGUGCAGCCAUGCCGCGUGUAUGAAGAAGGCCUUCGGGUGGUAAAGUACUGUCAGCGAGGAGGCGUUACUCACAGAAGAAGCACCGGCUAACUCCGUGCCAGCCGCCGCGGUAAUAC
rnacentral:rRNA from 1 species